AAAAAAGGCAAAAAAAAA
rnacentral:sRNA from 1 species